UGCACAGGCAGGUACGUGAAAAAUGAAGUCAAAAUAGGGAUUAUAACAGCGUACAACACAAGUGACUGUGCAGUAUCACAUCAAGUCCCAUCACCUCUCACUAAAUAUACUAUUUAGUUUUGUUUGUUUUUUUGAAAGGAUAGUGCAUUUGCUUUAAUGAACAAUCAGCAAAAGUAUGUUGAAAGACUAAACUGAACAUUCAGGCCUCAAAGUAGAGAGUCAAUGCAACAAAAGUGAAUACAAGUGUGAUCACGGACACAAAACUUUUAAAAUCUGUCAUCAGUAUUAUAGUUAAAUUGAGUACGCUUGUAAUUUUCAAUCAGCCUAAUUGCAUGAAUACAAUUAUAAGACCUUGUUUGCUCUUUGGAAUAAAAAUCCAAUAUUAACAUUUGUUUUAAGAACAUUUAAAGAAGCCUGGUGAAUACAUUCUGUUGUCAGAUGAGACCGGGAUAAAUUUGUUGCAUGUUUGGUGUGAACCUAACCAGAACUCCCACAGUGGAUGGAAAUCCUGACAGUGAAGCGCUGAGUGCAAUGAUACGGGGCUGUAUGAAUGCAAGAAGUGCUGAGGAGAGGGCAUUUAUAGAUGUCACUAGGAAUAUUUGUAGAUAUACUAAAAUACUGAUAAAUAGAUAAAUACAAUAUAUUGACAAGGUUGCUUCAGUCUGUAGAAGCUUAACAGAAGCGGAAUAUUUCAGCAGGACAAUGAUUCGAAGCACCCUGCCAAAAUCAGACUUUCAAAAGAAGAGAAAAGUGAAACUAUGCCAAAUAUGUCACAUGACAGAUAUUUUAAAGUAAAAGGUGGAGCAACACAACCCCUCCUGCAAAGAGCAGCUAAAAAAUAAUCCUGAAGGAUCCUGAAGAAACAUCUCUCCAGAAAUCUGAUGUCCUCUAUGCUGAAGAGGAUUAGGUCUGUCUUAAAUUAGAAAUAUUGGCAAGCAAAGUGUAGAAAAAUUAAAGAUCAGAUUCUCAGUAAGGAGAAUUUCUACUGCAGGACCUGUAGUGAAAUACUGGCUGAUUUUCUACUUUGUUUCUUGUUCAAAUGAUUUGUAUUUAUCACCUUAUGACCAGCCAACAAAUCUGAAUUUAAACUGAGAAUUUCCAGUAUUUUUUUUUACCAAAAAUGCACCGUGGGAGUUGUACAUCUAUGUGUAUAUUUAUGGCUGUGUGUAUUUUUGCUCUCCAUAUUUGGCUAUUUUUCACCUCUUGAUUAUCUUUUUUUGCUCUACUGUUACUUUUGUUCGAUAUUUUGUUUAUUUUGUAUCCCAUUUUGAUCAUUUUGUGUUUAAUUUUGAUCAUUUUGUUUCUCGGUUUGGUCAUUUUCUAUCUUUCCAUGUUGUUUUUUGUUCCAUUUGGAUAAUUUUGCAUGUGUUUAUGGAUUUUCCUGUUCUAUGUUGGACAUUUUUUCCACUUUAUUCAUUUUAUGUCUCUUUAUGUGAUUGUUUUUGUCCCAUUUGGGUGAUUUUGUGCUUCCCUGUGCGUCUCCACACUUGUGACCACACUCUCUGAAACAAAUCAAGCACUUGUCCUGUACCUUUUUCCUGUGCAGAGACCAGCAGCGACCCUUUAGAGGGCUGAUGUCAGCAAGGAGAGAAGAGGAAGUCUGCUGACGCUGCUGAAGAGGAGUCUUGAAUCGGUACAGGACAGAAUAGAGCUGUCAGAAGAGGAACAAAGAGGUCAGCAGGAAGAGAUGUGGUGGAAAAAAUAAUUUUUCUGUCAUUUAUGUCCCGCACAUUUGUAGUAAAACUAAAUGAGUGUCUGUUCAGCGCAAUUCGACAGCAAAAAUGAGCAGAAGCAUCAGCUCGACAGUUUGCCGGUAAGAUAUGAAGAAACACUUGUAAUGUUUACAGCUUUUUACAAAAUGUGAGAGGUUUUGUUCCUGUCUGAAGCUGAAAUGUCUCAGGUUGGAAAAUACUAACCAAAAGCUCUGUUUGUGUGUCACAGGUGGCGAUUAAACACGUCCCAAAAAGCAACAAGCUUUGCAAACGUGAACCGCAGUGGAAAGCAGCUCUCCUUUGAAGUGGCUGCUAUGUUGAGGAUUCAGGCUGGUAUGGCUGGAUCGGUGGGGGCAUCGGCACCGAUAUCCCUGUUGGACUGGUAUGACCUGGGCCAGGAGCUGAUCCCGGUUCUAGAGAGACCAUUUCCUUUAGAAGACUUCUUCUGUUACGUGCAGAGCAACGGAGGCUAGCAGGAAGAGGAGGAGGCGAAGGCACUGUCAAUUACGCCCCUCCAGAGUGGCACUGCCGCCGAACCUACCGACCCGGGCCCACCACAGUGUUUCAAAUGGGGGUGGUGCUGUUUGCCGUGCUCCACAGAUACUACAAAUUUGAAACCACAAUGUAUUUCGGCCAAAGGAUUCAAAUCAGUGAUGAACUAUCCAAAGAUUGCCAGGAUUUCUUACAAAAGUGCCUCACAAUGGUCCCUGAAUGUCGGCCCAAACUGAGGGAGCUUCGUCGUCAUCCAUGGCUGAGAUAGAAACACCAAUCUCAGACACAAUACAAACAUCACGUGACAGAUAAAGCCUUAAUUAUCGUCUGUUUUUUGUCGUGCCGAAUGCAUUUUGUCAUUUUGUCAAGACUGAUGUGAACCCUCGCAAACUCGUCGAUAUAGGAAAUUAUUUCCCAAGUCUGCACGGAGUCUCACAGACUUGAGAAAUAACUAAUAUUAUUAACUAAUAAUAUUAUACAGUCAUUCAUGUUUAAAAAAAAGUAGAAGACGCAUCCUCAUCUCUUCAAGGAGAGAUGACAAAAUCUCAAUUAAACUGCAGCGUACUGGCAGAUGUAUUUAAGACAAAGAUGAUGAAAUCUUCCCAAGUCGGCACGAAGAUGAGUAAAACAUGCAGACUCACCCUCUGCUAAACUCUGUUCCUUUAUUCUAGAAUCGCUGGAUGGUACAGCAAGGAAAACUGAAAGGUCUCAUGAACUUCUAUCUUUACGAAAGCACUCUGUUAGUCGCCAUGUUUUGUUUGUUUUUGAUUCAGUUUGGUCUGAACUGUUAGAGUGAGUAAAGGGGAAAACCUAAUAUAGGGUUUUGAUAUUUCUGUUUCAUCGAAUGUCCCCACUCAACAAGGACCUGUGAGUUUACACAUUGUCUCAUUUGUGUCACUUUGUUGACUUUUUGUUUUGUCUUGUUCUCUACAUUUUGAAAACUCAAUAAAGAUAUUGAUGA